CUUUUGGAUCUCUCUCUCUGAUGCUCUGCUCUAAAGAAAAAGCCAAACAACCUGUUUUAAGAAUAAUAAAGCAGGCCUAGGACAGUUCCAUGUAAAGAGAACCUGAGGCUUUUCCCAAAUUUGCCAGCAACAUCAGUGAACCACAUUGGAAUGGGAUCCGAUAGCAUCUCUAAGUCUUUGGCUGCCUCGAGGCCUGGACAGCAUCCUGACUGUAACCUCGUGAGAGACCCUGAGCCAGAAUCGCUCCAACGAGCUGCUUCCAAAUUCCUGACUCAAAGAAACGUAACUGACCAACCCACUUUAGAAGACUCCUCCCUAGGGUCUCCUUGCCUCCAAACCGGAUCUCUUCUAAUCUGCCCUUCACAUUGAUUCCUGGGUAACUUCUCCUAAAACACAGGUCAGAUAAUAUCUUUUACUUCCUCAUUUUUUCUUCAAUAGCUUUCUAAUGAAAAAAAAAAAAAAAUUCCCCAGUGUUGGAGGUGGGACCUGGUGGGAGGUAAUUGGAUCAUCGGAGUGGGUUUCUCAUGAAUGGUUUUGCACCAUCCUCUUGGUGUUGUUCUCAUAAUACUGAGUUCUUGCUAGAUCUGAUUGUUUAAAAGUGUGUGGCACCUCUCUCUCUCUUCCUUGCUGCUGCUCUCAACAUGUGAGAUGCCUGCUCCUGUGCCUUCCACCACAAAUGUAAGCCUCCAGAGGCCUCCCCAGAGGCAAAUGCCAGUGUUAUGCUUCCAGUACCUCCUGCAGAACCAUAACCCA
rnacentral:lncRNA from 1 species